rnacentral:rRNA from 1 species
UACGUAGGGACCGAGCGUUGUCCGGAAUCAUUGGGCGUAAAGAGCGUGUAGGCGGCCUGUUAAGUCUUGCGUGAAAUCUCGGGGCUCAACCCCGAGCGGUCGUGAGAAACUGGCAGGCUAGAGUGCGGGAGAGGAGAGUGGAAUUCCUGGUGUAGCGGUGAAAUGCGCAGAUAUCAGGAAGAACACCGUGGCGAAGGCGGCAUCC